rnacentral:rRNA from 1 species
GACGAACGCUGGCGGCGUGCUUAACACAUGCAAGUCGAACGGAAAGGCCCUGCUUUUGUGGGGUGCUCGAGUGGCGAACGGGUGUGUAACACGUGAGUAACCUGCCCUUGACUUUGGGAUAACUUCAGGAAACUGGGGCUAAUACCGGAUAGGAGCUCCUGCUGCAUGGUGGGGGUUGGAAAGUUUCGGCGGUUGGGGAUGGACUCGCGGCUUAUCAGCUUGUUGGUGGGGUAGUGGCUUACCAAGGCUUUGACGGGUAGCCGGCCUGAGAGGGUGACCGGCCACAUUGGGACUGGGAUACGGCCCAGACUCCUACGGGAGGCAGCAGUGGGGAAUAUUGCACAAUGGGCGGAAGCCUGAUGCAGCAACGCCGCGUGCGGGAUGACGGCAUUCGGGUUGUAAACCGCUUUCGCCUGUGACGAAGCGUGAGUGACGGUAAUGGGUAAAGAAGCACCGGCUAACUACGUG